UAGGGAAUCUUCGGCAAUGGACGGAANUCNGGACCGAGCAACGCCGCGUGAGUGAAGAAGGUUUUCGGAUCGUAAAGCUCUGUUGUAAGAGAAGAACGAGUGUGAGAGUGGAAAGUUCACACUGUGACGGUAUCUUACCAGAAAGGGACGGCUAACUACGUGCCAGCAGCCGCGGUAAUACGUAGGUCCCGAGCGUUGUCCGGAUUUAUUGGGCGUAAAGCGAGCGCAGGCGGUUAGAUAAGUCUGAAGUUAAAGGCUGUGGCUUAACCAUAGUACGCUUUGGAAACUGUUUAACUUGAGUGCAAGAGGGGAGAGUGGAAUUCCAUGUGUAGCGGUGAAAUGCGUAGAUAUAUGGAGGAACACCGGUGGCGAAAGCGGCUCUCUGGCUUGUAACUGACGCUGAGGCUCGAAAGCGUGGGGAGCAAACAGGAUUAGAUACCCUGGUAGUCCACGCCGUAAACGAUGAGUGCUAGGUGUUAGACCCUUUCCGGGGUUUAGUGCCGCAGCUAACGCAUUAAGCACUCCGCCUGGGGAGUACGACCGCAAGGUUG
rnacentral:rRNA from 1 species